AUUGAACGCUGGCGGGAUGCUUACACAUGCAAGUCGAACGAGUGGCGGACGGGUGAGUAAUAUCUGGGAACUUGCCCGGUAGCGGGGGAUAGCUACUGGAAAGGGUGCUAUACCGCAUACUCUUGGAGGGGCCGAUAUCGGCUUAGCUAGUUGGUGGGGUAACGGCGCACCAAGGCGACGAUCCGUAGCUGGUGUGAGAGGAUGACCAGCCAACCGGGAACUGAGGCACGGAGCAGACUCCUACGGGAGGACGCAGUGGGGAAGUUGGGACAAGGGGUGAAAGCCGGAACCAGCCAUCCCGCGUGUAUGAGGAGGGCUGCGGGUUGUAAAGUACUUUAGGCGGGGAGGGGGGAGCUGCAGAAGAAGCACCGGCUAACUACGUGCCAGCAGCCGCGGUAAUUC
rnacentral:rRNA from 1 species